rnacentral:rRNA from 1 species
CCUACGGGUGGCAGCAGUGAGGAAUAUUGGUCAAUGGACGCGAGUCUGAACCAGCCAAGUCGCGUGAAGGAUGACUGCCCUAUGGUUUGUAAACUUCUUUUAUAGGGGAGUAAAACGAGCCACGCGUGCCUUUUUGCAUGUACCUUAUGAAUAAGCAUCGGCUAACUCCGUGCCAGCAGCCGCGGUAAUACGGAGGAUCCGAGCGUUAUCCGGAUUUAUUGGGUUUAAAGGGAGCGUAGAUGGGUUGUUAAGUCAGUUGUGAAAGUUUGCGGCUCAACCGUAAAAUUGCAAUUGAUACUGGCAGUCUUGAGUACAGUUGAGGUAGGCGGAAUUCGUGGUGUAGCGGUGAAAUGCUUAGAUAUCACGAAGAACCCCGAUUGCGAAGGCAGCUUACUAAACUGUGACUGACAUUGAUGCACGAAAGUGUGGGUAUCAAACAGGAUUAGAUACCCGAGUAGUC